rnacentral:rRNA from 1 species
AUUGAACGCUGGCGGCAGGCCUAACACAUGCAAGUCGAGCGGAGCGGCGGACGGGCGAGUAAUGCCUAGGAAUCUGCCUGGUAGUAUGGGAUAACGUCCGGAAACGGGCGCUAAUACCGCAUACUAUCAGAUGAGCCUAGUUCGGAUUAGCUAGUGGGGGGGGUAAAGGCCUACAAAGGGGACGAUCCGUAACUGGUCUGAGAGGAUGAUCAGUACAACUGGAACUGAGACACGGCCAGACCUCUUAGGGGAGGAACCAGUGGGGAAUAUUGGACAAUGGGGGAAAGCUUGAUGCAGCAAUGCCGCGUGUGUGAGGAAGGUCUUCGGUGUGUAAGGCAUGUUAAUUGGGGAGACGUUACCAAAAGAGAAAGCACCGGCUAACUUCGUGCCAGCAGCCGCGGUAAUUC